UACGUAGGGUGCAAGCGUUAAUCGGAAUUACUGGGCGUAAAGCGUGCGCAGGCGGUGAUGUAAGACAGGUGUGAAAUCCCCGGGCUUAACCUGGGAACUGCGUUUGAAACUACAAGGCUAGAGUGCGGUAGAGGGUAGUGGAAUUCCCGGUGUAGCGGUGAAAUGCGUAGAGAUCGGGAGGAACACCAGUGGCGAAGGCGGCUACCUGGACCAGCACUGGACACUGAGGCACGAAAGCGUGGGGAGCAGACAGG
rnacentral:rRNA from 1 species